UACGGGGGGGCGAAGCGUUGUUCGGUAAUUACUGGGCGUAAAGGGCUCGUAGGUGGCCAACUAAGUCAUACGUGAAAUCCCUCGGCUUAACCGGGGAACUGCGUCUGAUACUGGAUGGCUUGAGGUUGGGAGAGGGAUGCGGAAUUCCAGGUGUAGCGGUGAAAUGCGUAGAUAUCUGGAGGAACACCGGUGGCGAAGGCGGCAUCCUGGACCAAUUCUGACACUGAGGAGCGAAAGCCAGGGGAGCAAAGCGGGAUUAGAAAACCCCA
rnacentral:rRNA from 1 species